rnacentral:rRNA from 1 species
AUUGAACGCUGGCGGCAUGCCUUACACAUGCAAGUCGAACGGCAGCACGGGGCAACCUGGUGGCGAGUGGCGAACGGGUGAGUAAUACAUCGGAACGUGCCCAAUCGUGGGGGGAUAACGUAGCGAAAGCUACGCUAAUACCGCAUACGAUCUACGGAUGAAAGCGGGGGAUCGCAAGACCUCGCGCGAAUGGAGCGGCCGAUGGCAGAUUAGGUAGUUGGUGGGGUAAAGGCUCACCAAGCCUGCGAUCUGUAGCUGGUCUGAGAGGACGACCAGCCACACUGGAACUGAGACACGGUCCAGACUCCUACGGGAGGCAGCAGUGGGGAAUUUUGGGACAAUGGGCGCAAGCCUGAUCCAGCCAUUCCGCGUGCAGGAUGAAGGCCCUCGGGUUGUAAACUGCUUUUGUACGGAACGAAAAGGCUUUCUCUAAUACAGGGGGCUCAUGACGGUACCGUAAGAAUAAGCACCGGCUAACUACGUGCCAGCAGCCGCGGUAAU